UUAAGCGACUAAGCGUACACGGUGGAUGCCCUGGCAGUCAGAGGCGAUGAAGGACGUGCUAAUCUGCGAAAAGCGUCGGUAAGGUGAUAUGAACCGUUAUAACCGGCGAUGUCCGAAUGGGGAAACCCAGUGCAAUUCGUUGCACUAUCGUUAACUGAAUACAUAGGUUAACGAGGCGAACCGGGGGAACUGAAACAUCUAAGUACCCCGAGGAAAAGAAAUCAACCGAGAUUCCCCCAGUAGCGGCGAGCGAACGGGGAGCAGCCCAGAGUCUGAAUCAGCUUGUGUGUUAGUGGAACGGUCUGGAAAGUCCGACGGUACAGGGUGAUAGUCCCGUACACCAAAAUGCACAGGUUGUGAACUCGAAGAGUAGGGCGGGACACGUGGUAUCCUGUCUGAAUAUGGGGGGGACCAUCCUCCAAGGCUAAAUACUCCUGACUGACCGAUAGUGAACCAGUACCGUGAGGGAAAGGCGAAAAGAACCCCGGCGAGGGGAGUGAAAAAGAACCUGAAACCGUGUACGUACAAGCAGUGGGAGCACCUUCGGGUGUGACUGCGUACCUUUUGUAUAAUGGGUCAGCGACUUAUAUUCUGUAGCAAGGUUAACCGUAUAGGGGAGCCGCAGGGAAACCGAGUCUUAACUGGGCGUUAAGUUGCAGGGUAUAGACCCGAAACCCGGUGAUCUAGCCAUGGGCAGGUUGAAGGUUGGGUAACACUAACUGGAGGACCGAACCGACUAAUGUUGAAAAAUUAGCGGAUGACUUGUGGCUGGGGGUGAAAGGCCAAUCAAACCGGGAGAUAGCUGGUUCUCCCCGAAAGCUAUUUAGGUAGCGCCUCGUGAACUCAUCUUCGGGGGUAGAGCACUGUUUCGGCUAGGGGGUCAUCCCGACUUACCAACCCGAUGCAAACUACGAAUACCGAAGAAUGUUAUCACGGGAGACACACGGCGGGUGCUAACGUCCGUCGUGAAGAGGGAAACAACCCAGACCGCCAGCUAAGGUCCCAAAGUCAUGGUUAAGUGGGAAACGAUGUGGGAAGGCACAGACAGCCAGGAUGUUGGCUUAGAAGCAGCCAUCAUUUAAAGAAAGCGUAAUAGCUCACUGGUCGAGUCGGCCUGCGCGGAAGAUGUAACGGGGCUAAACCAUGCACCGAAGCUGCGGCAGCGACACUAUGUGUUGUUGGGUAGGGGAGCGUUCUGUAAGCCUGCGAAGGUGUGCUGUGAGGCAUGCUGGAGGUAUCAGAAGUGCGAAUGCUGACAUAAGUAACGAUAAAGCGGGUGAAAAGCCCGCUCGCCGGAAGACCAAGGGUUCCUGUCCAACGUUAAUCGGGGCAGGGUGAGUCGACCCCUAAGGCGAGGCCGAAAGGCGUAGUCGAUGGGAAACAGGUUAAUAUUCCUGUACUUGGUGUUACUGCGAAGGGGGGACGGAGAAGGCUAUGUUAGCCGGGCGACGGUUGUCCCGGUUUAAGCAUGUAGGCUGGUUGUCCAGGCAAAUCCGGAUAAUCAAGGCUGAGGUGUGAUGACGAGGCACUACGGUGCUGAAGUAACAAAUGCCCUGCUUCCAGGAAAAGCCUCUAAGCAUCAGGUAACAUCAAAUCGUACCCCAAACCGACACAGGUGGUCAGGUAGAGAAUACCAAGGCGCUUGAGAGAACUCGGGUGAAGGAACUAGGCAAAAUGGUGCCGUAACUUCGGGAGAAGGCACGCUGGUGUGUAGGUGAAGUCCCUGCGGAUGGAGCUGAGACCAGUCGAAGAUACCAGCUGGCUGCAACUGUUUAUUAAAAACACAGCACUGUGCAAACACGAAAGUGGACGUAUACGGUGUGACGCCUGCCCGGUGCCGGAAGGUUAAUUGAUGGGGUUAUCCGUAAGGAGAAGCUCUUGAUCGAAGCCCCGGUAAACGGCGGCCGUAACUAUAACGGUCCUAAGGUAGCGAAAUUCCUUGUCGGGUAAGUUCCGACCUGCACGAAUGGCGUAAUGAUGGCCAGGCUGUCUCCACCCGAGACUCAGUGAAAUUGAACUCGCUGUGAAGAUGCAGUGUACCCGCGGCAAGACGGAAAGACCCCGUGAACCUUUACUAUAGCUUGACACUGAACAUUGAGCCUUGAUGUGUAGGAUAGGUGGGAGGCUUUGAAGCGUGGACGCCAGUCUGCGUGGAGCCAACCUUGAAAUACCACCCUUUAAUGUUUGAUGUUCUAACGUUGGCCCCUUACCGGGGUUGCGGACAGUGUCUGGUGGGUAGUUUGACUGGGGCGGUCUCCUCCCAAAGCGUAACGGAGGAGCACGAAGGUUAGCUAAUCCUGGUCGGACAUCAGGAGGUUAGUGCAAUGGCAUAAGCUAGCUUGACUGCGAGCGUGACGGCGCGAGCAGGUGCGAAAGCAGGUCAUAGUGAUCCGGUGGUUCUGAAUGGAAGGGCCAUCGCUCAACGGAUAAAAGGUACUCCGGGGAUAACAGGCUGAUACCGCCCAAGAGUUCAUAUCGACGGCGGUGUUUGGCACCUCGAUGUCGGCUCAUCACAUCCUGGGGCUGAAGUAGGUCCCAAGGGUAUGGCUGUUCGCCAUUUAAAGUGGUACGCGAGCUGGGUUUAGAACGUCGUGAGACAGUUCGGUCCCUAUCUGCCGUGGGCGCUGGAGAAUUGAGGGGGGCUGCUCCUAGUACGAGAGGACCGGAGUGGACGCAUCACUGGUGUUCGGGUUGUCAUGCCAAUGGCACUGCCCGGUAGCUAAAUGCGGAAGAGAUAAGUGCUGAAAGCAUCUAAGCACGAAACUUGCCCCGAGAUGAGUUCUCCCUGAGACUUUAAGUCUCCUGAAGGAACGUUGAAGACGACGACGUUGAUAGGCCGGGUGUGUAAGCGCAGCGAUGCGUUGAGCUAACCGGUACUAAUGAACCGUGAGGCUUAACCUU
rnacentral:rRNA from 1 species